rnacentral:rRNA from 1 species
ACCAUGAAGCCGGAAUUGCUAGUAAUGGCAGGUCAGCAUACUGCCGUGAAUACGUUCCCGGGCCCUUGUACACACCGCCCGUCACACCAUGAGAGUUGGGGAUACCCGAAGCCUGUGAGCCAACUUUCUAAGAGGCAGCAGUCGAAGGUAGAAUCAAUGAUUGGGGUGAAGUCGUAACAAGGUAAC